AUGAACGCUAGCUACAGGCUUAACACAUGCAAGUCGAGGGGCAGCAUGGUCUUAGCUUGCUAAGGCCGAUGGCGACCGGCGCACGGGUGAGUAACACGUAUCCAACCUGCCGUCUACUCUUGGACAGCCUUCUGAAAGGAAGAUUAAUACAAGAUGGCAUCAUGAGUCCGCAUGUUCACAUGAUUAAAGGUAUUCCGGUAGACGAUGGGGAUGCGUUCCAUUAGAUAGUAGGCGGGGUAACGGCCCACCUAGUCUUCGAUGGAUAGGGGUUCUGAGAGGAAGGUCCCCCACAUUGGAACUGAGACACGGUCCAAACUCCUACGGGAGGCAGCAGUGAGGAAUAUUGGUCAAUGGGCGAGAGCCUGAACCAGCCAAGUAGCGUGAAGGAUGACUGCCCUAUGGGUUGUAAACUUCUUUUAUAAAGGAAUAAAGUCGGGUAUGGAUACCCGUUUGCAUGUACUUUAUGAAUAAGGAUCGGCUAACUCCGUGCCAGCAGCCGCGGUAAUACGGAGGAUCCGAGCGUUAUCCGGAUUUAUUGGGUUUAAAGGGAGCGUAGAUGGAUGUUUAAGUCAGUUGUGAAAGUUUGCGGCUCAACCGUAAAAUUGCAGUUGAUACUGGAUAUCUUGAGUGCAGUUGAGGCAGGCGGAAUUCGUGGUGUAGCGGUGAAAUGCUUAGAUAUCACGAAGAACUCCGAUUGCGAAGGCAGCCUGCUAAGCUGCAACUGACAUUGAGGCUCGAAAGUGUGGGUAUCAAACAGGAUUAGAUACCCUGGUAGUCCACACGGUAAACGAUGAAUACUCGCUGUUUGCGAUAUACAGCAAGCGGCCAAGCGAAAGCGUUAAGUAUUCCACCUGGGGAGUACGCCGGCAACGGUGAAACUCAAAGGAAUUGACGGGGGCCCGCACAAGCAGUGGAGUAUGUGGUUUAAUUCGACGCAACGCGAAGAACCUUACCAGGGCUUGACAUACAGAUGAAUAUACUAGAGAUAGUAUAGCUCUUCGGAGCAUCUGUACAGGUGGUGCAUGGUUGUCGUCAGCUCGUGUCGUGAGAUGUUAGGUUAAGUCCUGCAACGAGCGCAACCCCUGUGAUUAGUUGCCAACAGGUAAAGCUGGGAACUCUAAUCAGACUGCCGGUGAUAAAUCGGAGGAAGGUGGGGAUGACGUCAAAUCAUCAUGCCCUUUAUGUCCUGGGCUACACACGUACUACAAUGGCUGUAACAGAGAGAAGCAAAACAGUGAUGUUGAGCAAAACUUUAAAAAGCAGUCUCAGUUCGGAUUGAAGGCUGAAAUUCGCCUUCAUGAAGCCGGAAUUGCUAGUAAUGGCAGGUCAGCAUACUGCCGUGAAUACGUUCCCGGGCCUUGUACACACCGCCCGUCACACCAUGAGAGUUGGGGAUACCCGAAGCCUGUGAGCCAACUAUUUACUUAGAGGCAGCAGUCGAAGGUAGAAUCAAUGAUUGGGGUG
rnacentral:rRNA from 1 species